GAUGAACGCUGGCGGCGUGCUUAACACAUGCAAGUCGAACGGAAAGGCUCCUGCUUGCAGGGGUACUCGAGUGGCGAACGGGUGAGUAACACGUGGGUGAUCUGCCCUGCACUUCGGGAUAAGCCUGGGAAACUGGGUCUAAUACCGGAUAGGACCACAUUUUGGAUGGUGUGGUGGAAAGUUUUUCGGUGUGGGAUGAGCUCGCGGCCUAUCAGCUUGUUGGUGGGGUAAUGGCCUACCAAGGCGUCGACGGGUAGCCGGCCUGAGAGGGUGUACGGCCACAUUGGGACUGAGAUACGGCCCAGACUCCUACGGGAGGCAGCAGUGGGGAAUAUUGCACAAUGGGCGCAAGCCUGAUGCAGCGACGCCGCGUGGGGGAUGACGGCCUUCGGGUUGUAAACUCCUUUCGCUAGGGACGAAGCGCAAGUAACGGUACCUGGAGAAGAAGCACCGGCUAACUACGUG
rnacentral:rRNA from 1 species